GUUGGAUUGUUGAUCAUUUUACCUCUCAAUCGAUGACACCAAAGACGGCAAUCAGGUCGGUUAUAUUCGAAAAUUUGGAGGACGAUUCCAUUUUCUCAAACUCGCCCCCCACUACAGUUAGGCCAAUAACUUCGACAGUAGCCAUACCAGGAAUGGCAACAACCAGGACGCCGUGUGAAGAUGCUUGUCAAGCUACUAACCAAUUCGAUCCAGUAUGUGGAAAUAACGGAGUAACGUACACAAAUUUUCAAUGGUAUAAAUGUGCAGUAAGAUGCGGUAAAAAUGUGAAAAUAAGGUUUCGUGGAGCCUGCCCAAGACCUAUCUAAUUUGCUGUAAAUAUGUCUGAAACGAACCAAAUGUCUAGUAGAUAAAGAACUACAAGUA